AGAGAGAGAGAAAGGAAAAGGUGGCUUUGAAGAGGCAAGUGCAAAGAUACCAGAGACGGGGUAUUGUCAUUUUAGGCAGUUAAUUGACGGUUUCACUUACCAGGGAGCUCCCAUCAUGGGCUCCCAAAAGGCCUGACAACUGCUAGGCCCACGGGCCAUUAGCUGCACCUUUACUGAGGGGCUGCACUAUGCAUGUCUGAAAGCCGCGUGGGACAGAGGAAGGGGCAGGGAUGAGGGAAAGGACGGGGUGAGGGAAGGAAGGGAGGGUAAACCUAACUACGGCAACCUUGAGCAGGCUGGAAGAGGCUUCCUCAGGUAGGGGUGAUGUCACAAUCACAGGUUGAGAUCAGCUGCCCGGGCCACGCUGGCUCCUCGCAGGCAGGCGAGAUUUGGGAACAGCCAGGAUCCCCUCCGCACGGGAGAACAGCUCUAGACGCGCAGAGGGGCGGAGUCCAAACGGGUGCCAUCACCGUACAUCCUGGGAGCUGUAGUCUCUUAACCGCUCGUAGCCCGUUGGUGGCAAGGCGACAGUAUUACAAUCCCAGCAUGCGCAAGUCUGGGGGCGGUGCGAAGCCCUGGGGACACGGCGGUGCGCGCCUAGCUAGACAUGCUGAGAGAUGUAGUCUCUUAACCUCUCGCAGUCCCUAGGUUGCAGGACUGCAGGACUACAAUCCCGGCAUGCUCCGGGCUCGGGGUUUGGGCAUAGCUUUAGAAAGAGAGGCAGGGCGGCAGGGCGGCAGGGCGGCAGGGCGCGGUGGUUUUCGCCUGUAAUCCCAGCUCUUUGGGAAGCCGAGGCAGGCGGAUCACGAGAAGGCGUUGUAACAUCUCACUAAGCCCAGCACUCAGGCGAUGUGGCUUUCCUGCUAUGGCACUGCACACAAGAAGAAUGUUGACAUAUUCCUGGCCCAGAAUUCAGGUGGAGAUGGAGCUCUCAUGCACGGAUCCUGUCCGAUGUUAAGACUGUGUCUCGUGUAUUUGGAUGCAACUCACAAGAGGUGUUGACUCUCAGACCUAAAGCUGGGAAAUAUGUAGAAUUGUGAAAUUUAUUCCUGGUCCUUCCCGCAGGUGUGAUUGUGGCGUAUAUGUUCACACAGCACUUAAUUUAUUUUACAAUUUGUUUGAACUCAGCCAACUGUUGGGACUGUGACAUAUACCUGGACCAAGUUCCUAGGUGAUGUAACUCUCCAGCCUGGGCCUUACCACAGGGUACAUUGUGACAUAUCUUUGGACUUAUCACCUAUGUGAUGUGACUCUACUGACUUGCCUUGUCUUGGCCUCCAUUGGGGAUUGUGGCAUAUUUCUGUGCCCAGUACCUAAGUUAUGUGACUCUUCUUUCCUGCUUGUGCAUUUAGAAGGGAUUGUGACAUAUUGCUGGGCCAAGAACCUAGGUGAUGUGACUCUCCUGCCUUGGCCCUGCCUUCAGGAAAAAUUGUGAUGUGACUCUGGGUUUAUUACCUAGAUGAUGUGACUCUUGUGUUCUGCAUGGGCAAGCCCAAAGGGGUCAUUGUGGCAUAUCUCUGGGCACAUCAAAGAAGUGGUGUAAUUUUUCUCUCAUUCCAGGACUCUAGUCUCAGUAGGGAUUGUGACAUAUCACUGGGCCCAUAACCUAUGUCAUGUGAUUCUAGUAUCCUGCUUGGGCCCUGCUUACAGGAAAGAUUGUGACAUUUGGCUGGGCCCAUCACCUAGUUAAUGUGACUCUCCUUUUCUUCCUGUGCCCUGCCCUCAGUGGAGAUUGUGACAAAUUUCUGGGCCAAUCAGCUGUGCAAUAUGACUCUGCUCUUUCCUGGGCCCUGCUAUCGGGGAGCAUUGUGACAUAUUGCCAGGCUCAGCACCUAGGUAAUGUGACUCUUCUUGCUGCCUGGGCCCUACUUACAGAAGGGAUUUUGAUGUAUUGCUGAACCAAGAAUUCAGAUGAUGUGACUCUCCUGCCUGUGCGCUGUCUACAGUGGGCAUUGUGACAUAUCAUUGGUGAUGUGACUCUCCUGCCUUGUUCCUGCCCACAGGUGAAAUUGUGGCAUAUACCUGGGUCCAGAUCACAGGCACAAUGAUGACUCUCUUACCUGGACACAGCCAGUGGGAAAUAUUUUGACUUUUGUAGCCAGGCUUAGGGCCACAGGUGGUUUGGUGACUCUCAAACCAUGAUUCAGCAGACCUGUGAGGCUGUGAGUUCCCUAUCAGAACACAAUCUGCAGGUUGUAUUGUGCCAUAUACCUGGGACCAAAUUACAAGCACAAUGAUGAAUCUUUUACCUGGAGUCAAGACAUGGGCAGGAUGAUGGAACUUAUCACUGGACCUUUCCACAGUGUUAUUGUGACAUAUGCCUUUGCCCAACAUGUGGUGAUUUGACUCCCCAGACUGGGUCCAGUUCACAAAUAAAAUUGUGCCGUAUACUUGGCCAAGAACCUAA
rnacentral:lncRNA from 1 species